AUGGUUGCUCCGGCGACACCCAAUUAUCUGAAGUGGUCUCAGACGGCCAUCACAUUCAACCAGUUAGAUCACCGGACACACAUAGCCACCCCUGGGAGGCAAGCUCUGGUGGUCGAUCCAGUUGUCGAAGGCACUCGACUGACUAAGGUCUUGAUGGAUGGCGGCAGUAGUUUGAAUAUACUGUACACGGAGACACUGAAAGGGAUGGGCAUUCCGAUGUCCAGAAUCAGUACAAGCAACAUGAGUUUCUAUGGAGUUAUUCCUGGCAAGAAGGCCGCGUCACUCGGCCAGAUUGCUCUCGAUGUGGUUUUUGGUGAUUCCAAGAAUUUCCGCAAAGAAAAGUUGACAUUUGAAGUCGUGGAUUUCCAGAGUGCCUAUCAUGCUAUUUUGGGCAGGCCAGCUUAUGCACGUUUUAUGGCUCGACUGUGUUACGUGUACCUCAAAUUGAAGAUGCCUGACCCUAAGGGUGUGAUCACUGUUACUGGCAAUCGCAAGAUGGCGGAAGAGUGCUUUCAGAAGGGCUCAAAAAUCUCCGAUGCUCAGAUGGUAGCAGAAGAGUGGCAGGAACAUCAAAAAAAUGCAGACCCGAGUGAUUUGUUGCGAGCUAAGAAGCCCGCUACGGAGUCACCUUUUCAGUCGCCCGGUGAGACGAAACCGGUUCACAUCCACCCGACCGAUCCCAAUGCUGCC
rnacentral:rRNA from 1 species